rnacentral:rRNA from 1 species
GAGCAAACAGGAUUAGAUACCCUGGUAGUCCACGCCGUAAACGAUGUCGACUUGGAGGUUGUGCCCUUGAGGCGUGGCUUCCGGAGCUAACGCGUUAAGUCGACCGCCUGGGGAGUACGGCCGCAAGGUUAAAACUCAAAUGAAUUGACGGGGGCCCGCACAAGCGGUGGAGCAUGUGGUUUAAUUCGAUGCAACGCGAAGAACCUUACCUGGUCUUGACAUCCACGGAAGUUUUCAGAGAUGAGAAUGUGCCUUCGGGAACCGUGAGACAGGUGCUGCAUGGCUGUCGUCAGCUCGUGUUGUGAAAUGUUGGGUUAAGUCCCGCAACGAGCGCAACCCUUAUCCUUUGUUGCCAGCGGUCCGGCCGGGAACUCAAAGGAGACUGCCAGUGAUAAACUGGAGGAAGGUGGGGAUGACGUCAAGUCAUCAUGGCCCUUACGACCAGGGCUACACACGUGCUACAAU